CACGUAGGGGCCAAGCGUUGUCCGGAUUUAUUGGGCGUAAAGAGCUUGUAGGCGGUUUGUCGCGUCUGCUGUGAAAUUUCGGGGCUCAACCCCGAACUUGCAGUGGAUACGGGCAGACUAGAGGUAGGUAGGGGAGAAUGGAAUUCCCGGUGUAGCGGUGAAAUGCGCAGAUAUCGGGAGGAACACCGGUGGCGAAGGCGGUUCUCUGGGCCUUACCUGACGCUGAGGAGCGAAAGCGUGGGGAGCGAACAGG
rnacentral:rRNA from 1 species